rnacentral:rRNA from 1 species
GACGAACGCUGGCGGCGUGCCUAAUACAUGCAAGUUGAGCGCUGAAGGUUGGUACUUGUACCGACUGGAUGAGCAGCGAACGGGUGAGUAACGCGUGGGGAAUCUGCCUUUGAGCGGGGGACAACAUUUGGAAACGAAUGCUAAUACCGCAUAAAAACUUUAAACACAAGUUUUAAGUUUGAAAGAUGCAAUUGCAUCACUCAAAGAUGAUCCCGCGUUGUAUUAGCUAGUUGGUGAGGUAAAGGCUCACCAAGGCGAUGAUACAUAGCCGACCUGAGAGGGUGAUCGGCCACAUUGGGACUGAGACACGGCCCAAACUCCUACGGGAGGCAGCAGUAGGGAAUCUUCGGCAAUGGACGAAAGUCUGACCGAGCAACGCCGCGUGAGUGAAGAAGGUGUUCGGAUCGUAAAACUCUGUUGGUAGAGAAGAACGUUGGUGAGAGUGGAAAGCUCAUCAAGUGACGGUAACUACCCAGAAAGGGACGGCUAACUACGU